GUAAUUACUUUGGAACACACAUACUAAAACAAGAAGAAUAUAGAGAAGAUUGGUGUGACCCUUGUGCAAAGAUAAUACAAAAAUUUGUGUAACAUUCCAUAUAUAC